UGGGGAAUUUUGGACAAUGGGGGCAACCCUGAUCCAGCAAUGCCGCGUGUGUGACGAAGGCCUUCGGGUUGUAAAGCACUUUUGGUGGGAACGAAACGGCGCCGGCUAAUACCUGGCGCUAAUGACGGUACCCGCAGAAUAAGCACCGGCUAACUACGUGCCAGCAGCCGCGGUAAUACGUAGGGUGCGAGCGUUAAUCGGAAUUACUGGGCGUAAAGCGUGCGCAGGCGGUUUUGCAAGACAGAUGUGAAAUCCCCGGGCUCAACCUGGGAACUGCAUUUGUGACUGCAAGGCUAGAGUGUGUCAGAGGGAGGUGGAAUUCCGCGUGUAGCAGUGAAAUGCGUAGAGAUGCGGAGGAACACCGAUGGCGAAGGCAGCCUCCUGGGAUAACACUGACGCUCAUGCACGAAAGCGUGGGGAGCAAACAGG
rnacentral:rRNA from 1 species